rnacentral:rRNA from 1 species
GACGAACGCUGGCGGCGUGCUUAACACAUGCAAGUCGAACGGAAAGGCCCUGCUUUUGUGGGGUGCUCGAGUGGCGAACGGGUGAGUAACACGUGAGUAACCUGCCCUUGACUUUGGGAUAACUUCAGGAAACUGGGGCUAAUACCGGAUAGGAGCUCCUGCUGCAUGGUGGGGGUUGGAAAGUUUCGGCGGUUGGGGAUGGUCUCGCGGCUUAUCAGCUUGUUGGUGGGGUAGUGGCUUACCAAGGCUUUGACGGGUAGCCGGCCUGAGAGGGUGACCGGGCACCUUGGGACUGAGGUACGGCCCAGACUGCUACGGGAGGCAGCAGUGGGGAAUAUUGCACAAUGGGCGGAAGCGUGAUGCAACAACGCCGCGUGCGGGAUGACGGCCUUCGGGUUGUAAACCGCUUUCGCCUGUGACGAAGCGUGAGUGACGGUAAUGGGUAAAGAAGCACCGGCUAACUACGUG